rnacentral:lncRNA from 1 species
AAUGAAGAGGAGGGCGAACUUAACGCUGCACGCACCAACCCCUUCCCGGGGUCGCCAAAGAAGCCAGACUGGAGACGGCAGAGAGUAUGGGUUUGCAUGAACUGUGGCUGCUCCAUCAAGCAGGCUGAUUACUGAGGACACAUCAUCACAAACUUCGCCCGGGUGACUCAUCACCCAGAUCCCACAGAGAGAUUUAUUUAGUAUAUCUGAAGUAGAGGUUGGGAAGCUGAAUGUUGCACAAGUUCCACAAAUGAUUCUGAUGGCAGCGAGCUGUUUGAACCACUGCUGUAGACAAUAAAGAGAGGCAAGACACAGAGGGAAGACCCAGAGAUACACAGAGAGGAAACAGCACAUGAAGGCAGAGGCAGAAAUUGGAAUGAUGUGGCUACAAGUCAAGGAAUGUCAAGAUUUGCGGGCACUCACCAGAAAGUAGGAAGAGGCAAGAAAGGAUUCUUCUCUAGAGCCUUCACAGGGAGAAUGGCCCUGGCCACACCUUGAUUUUGAACUUCUGACCUCCAGAACUGUGAGAGAGUAAAUUUCUGUUAUUUUGAGCCACCCAAUUUGUGGUAAUUUAUUAUGGCAGUCUUAGGAAAGAAUAUACCGUUUAAAUUUGGGCUCUAGCAGCUUCUAUCCAGAAGACAAAGCAAAUCUUAGCUUUGUCUCUCCAGAUGAGCCUAUCUCUCCAGAUUUCAGGCUGGUAGUUUACUCUGCAAACUCAGUUCUCUGAUAAGUCCAAGAAAAGUCAUUGAUUUUUGUUUAUGCAUACGUCCAUUGUUUUUUGCAAGGUUGGGAAUGAUGAUUUCUGAACUCUUUAUAUGUCAGAGCUGAAACUGAAGCUUUCUCUAAUAGG